rnacentral:rRNA from 1 species
GAUAAACGCUGGCGGCGUGCAUGAGACAUGCAAGUCGAACGAACGAGCUUGCUCGUUAGUGGCGGACGGCUGAGUAACGCGUAGGUGACCUGCCCCGAAGUGGGGGAUAACUGCCCGAAAGGGUGGCUAAUACCGCAUGUGGCGACACUUUCAUUGGUGUCAUCAAAGCCGCGAGGCGCUUCGGGAGGGGCCUGCGUCCGAUUAGCUCGUUGGUGGGGUAAUGGCUCACCAAGGCGACGAUCGGUAGGUGGUCUGAGAGGACGAUCACCCAGACUGGGACUGAGACACGGCCCAGACUCCUACGGGAGGCAGCAGUCGGGAAUUUUGCUCAAUGGGCGCAAGCCUGAAGCAGCAACGCCGCGUGCGGGAUGAAGGCCUUCGGGUUGUAAACCGCUUUUGUCAGGGACGAUGAUGACGGUACCUGACGAAUAAGUCACGGCUAACUACGUGCCAGCCGCCGCGGUAAGAC